AUACGGAGGGUCCAAGCGUUAUCCGGAAUCAUUGGGUUUAAAGGGUCCGCAGGCGGUCAAUUAAGUCAGAGGUGAAAGCCCAUCGCUCAACGAUGGAACUGCCUUUGAUACUGGUUGACUUGAGUUAUACGGAAGUAGAUAGAAUAAGUAGUGUAGCGGUGAAAUGCAUAGAUAUUACUUAGAAUACCGAUUGCGAAGGCAGUCUACUACGUAUAUACUGACGCUGAGGGACGAAAGCGUGGGGGGCGAACAGGAUUAGAAACCCUAGUAGUCC
rnacentral:rRNA from 1 species